rnacentral:rRNA from 1 species
AAAUUGAAGAGUUUGAUCAUGGCUCAGAUUGAACGCUGGCGGCAGGCCUAACACAUGCAAGUCGAACGGUAACAGGAAGCAGCUUGCUGCUUUGCUGACGAGUGGCGGACGGGUGAGUAAUGUCUGGGGAACUGCCCGAUGGAGGGGGAUAACUACUGGAAACGGUAGCUAAUACCGCAUAACGUCGCAAGACCAAAGAGGGGGACCUUAGGGCCUCUUGCCAUCGGAUGUGCCCAGAUGGGAUUAGCUUGUUGGUGAGGUAACGGCUCACCAAGGCGACGAUCCCUAGCUGGUCUGAGAGGAUGACCAGCCACACUGGAACUGAGACACGGUCCAGACUCCUACGGGAGGCAGCAGUGGGGAAUAUUGCACAAUGGGCGCAAGCCUGAUGCAGCCAUGCCGCGUGUAUGAAGAAGGCC